GAACAAAAUAAAAGCCAACGGAACAAUACCUUCAGAAACGGUGGAGUGGCCAUGGAUGGAAUCGAAAUUUUAUCACAGGGAACAAGCAGCCCUAAUGGUCGGCCACGGCAUUGAAAGGGCAGCUUAUUAAUUUCAGCAAUUGGGCCCUAUCAAUUUUAUCCUCUUAAUCUCCACACUUUCGCUGUGGCUUUAUGAAAAACAAAGCUCCGCAGAGCUUUCUGCAGUUAAAUGAGGGUUUUGGGGAAAAAGUUCUUUUUUUCGAAGGAAGAUAUCAAACCCGCUACUGGACUGAAUAUAUAAAUCAGAUAUUUAUACAUUCUAAAUAUCUCUUCUGAUUUGGAUAUAUACAGAGCUUUUGUGGUGGGAUUUAACUAAAAUUUUAGCAAGAUGAGGAUAAUGAUAAAGGGAGGUGUUUGGAAAAACACCGAAGAUGAGAUUCUGAAGGCGGCUGUUAUGAAAUAUGGGAAGAAUCAAUGGGCACGUAUUUCCUCUCUUCUUGUUCGUAAAUCGGCAAAGCAGUGUAAGGCCCGGUGGUAUGAGUGGCUCGAUCCUUCUAUUAAAAAGACAGAAUGGACAAGAGAGGAGGAUGAGAAGCUACUUCAUCUUGCAAAGCUUAUGCCAACACAGUGGAGGACAAUUGCACCAAUUGUUGGACGAACUCCAUCUCAAUGCCUGGAACGUUAUGAGAAACUUUUGGAUGCGGCAUGUGUAAAGGAUGAAAAUUAUGAACCUGCUGAUGAUCCUCGGAAGUUAAGGCCUGGCGAAAUAGACCCUAAUCCAGAAUCAAAACCUGCAAGGCCUGAUCCAGUUGAUAUGGAUGAAGAUGAAAAAGAGAUGUUAUCUGAAGCACGAGCCCGCUUGGCUAACACCAGAGGUAAGAAAGCAAAGAGAAAAGCACGAGAAAAACAACUUGAGGAGGCAAGAAGGCUUGCCUCCCUUCAGAAACGGAGGGAAUUGAAGGCAGCAGGCAUUGAUGGCAAACAGAGGAAAAGAAAGCGGAAAGGAAUUGAUUAUAAUGCAGAGAUUCCAUUUGAGAAGAAGCCUCCACCGGGAUUUUUUGAUGUUGCAGAUGAAGAAAGACAGGUUGUGCAGCCUCAGUUUCCAACUACAAUAGAAGAGCUAGAAGGAAAGAGACGGGUCGAUAUAGAAGCUCAGUUAAGAAAACAAGAUAUUGCACGCAAUAAAAUAGUACAGAGGCAUGAUGCACCCUCAGCUGUAAUGCAGGUUAACAAGCUCAAUGAUCCAGAAGCAGUUAGGAAGAGAUCAAAACUCAUGCUCCCAGCUCCACAAAUUUCAGAUCGAGAGCUUGAAGAAAUAGCAAAAAUGGGUUAUGCAAGUGACCUUGUCAUGGGGGAAGAUGAACUUGCAGAGGGUAGUGGUGCUGCCCGUGACCUCCUUGCAAACUAUAGUCAGACCCCACGGCUGGGCAUGACACCUUUAAGAACGCCACAAAGAACUCCAGGUGGGAAAGGAGAUGCCAUCAUGAUGGAGGCUGAAAAUCAAGCACGUUUAAGGGAGGCACAGACUCCACUGUUUGGGGGAGAAAACCCAGAGCUGCAUCCCUCUGAUUUCUCAGGAGUCACUCCCAAAAAAAAGGAGGUUCAGACGCCAAAUCCUAUUGCAACACCUCUGCACACUCCUGGAGCAAUUGGUUCAACUCCUCGAAUUGGAAUGACGCCAUCAAGAGAGUUAUCUACAUUUGGCAUGACUCCUAAAGGCACCCCUAUUCGAGACGAGCUUCAUAUAAAUGAAGGCAUGGAAACUCCUGACAGCUCCAAGGCUGAAAGUCGAAGGCAAGCAGAGAUAAGGAGGAAUCUACGAGCUGGUUUGAAUGAACUUCCUGCACCACAGAAUGAAUAUCAGAUAGUUAUCCCUGACCCCCCAACAGAGGAUAUUGAAGCGGUGGAACAAAUGGAGGAAGACAUGUCUGAUAAGUUAGCUAGAGAGAAAGCAGAAGAAGCUGCAAGGCAGGCAGCUUUGCUUAGAAAAAGAUCAAAGGUCUUGCAGAGGGGUCUUCCGAGACCUCCUCUUGCUGCUGUUGAUUUCAUUAAGAAUUCUCUGAAAAGCAUUGCUGAUGAUAAUGGUUCCCUUGCACCAGCAAACUUCAUGGAGCAAGCUGAUGAAUUGAUCAGAAAAGAGCUAAUAUCUUUACUGGAGCAUGACAAUGUGAAGUAUCCACUUGAAGAUGGCCUGGGAAAGGAAAGAAAGAAGGGCAACAAGAAUAACCCAAACGGAAGGCCACAAGGUCCUAUUCCUCAAAUAGAUGAUUUUGAUGAGGGAGAACUAAUAGAGGCAUCACAAUUAAUUGAAGAUGAAGUCUCAAUCCUAAGGGUGGGAAUGGGCCAUGAAGAAGCUUCAGUGGAUGACUUUUCUGAAGCCCAUAAUGCUUGUCUUGAAGAUAUGAUGUUCUUCCCAGGUCGUAACACCUAUGGUCUUGCAAGUGUGGCCAGUGUUGCAGAUAAACUUGCAGCACUACAGAAUGAAUUUGAGAAUGUGCGGAAUCAUAUGGAAAGUGGGACAAGAAAAGCUGUUCGUCUUGAGCAAAAGUUGAAAACGUUGACUCAAGGCUAUCAGCUGAGGGCAGGUAAACUCUGGACACAAAUAGAGGCAGCCUUCAAACAGGCAGAUACUGCCGGUACUGAACUGGAAUGUUUCCGAGCAUUACACAAGCAAGAGGAAUUGGCAGCUUCUAAUAGAAUUGAAAGCUUGCGAGAAGCAGUCAGUCAGCAGAAAGAUCUUGAAAGACAACUACAGUUUAAAUAUGAAAAUCUACUUGUGGAACAAGAUAAUAUGCAGAAACUUUUACAGGAAUAUAAGGAAAGGACAGCUCAACAAAAUGAUAAUAACAUUGGGGAUAGCAGCAAUCCUGAAUCGGCACAGUUAGAUUCUUGCCAGGUUGAUAUAGGUGGAUUAGAAACUGAGAAGGUUGUGAAUGACUGCACUUCCGACCUGGCACAGUUGGCUUCGCACCAGGCUGAUAUGGAUAGAAUGGAAACUGAUAAGGUUGUGGAUGGAAGCAACGCUGAACUGGCACAGUCAACUUCUUGUCAGGUUGGUAUGGAGGGAUUAGAAAGUGAGAAGAUUGUCACAGAAGCCUUGGAAGUUUCAUUUAAAGGCAAUGAUAUUGCAAUGUUGGACAGCAAUCAAGCUUUUGAUGGUCAUUCUUCUUUGUCACCAGUCGAGGAUGGUAUUGAGAAGGUUACGAGUCCUGGUCAAAACAAAGAUGGGGUAGAAAAUUCUGGAAAUGCUACUAACAUAAAGGCUGAUCAUGUACUUAAGUCGGAUGGGCCUAAUUCUAUUUUAGAGGAUAAAACAAUUGACCAAGUUUCAUGUGGGCAUACUGCUGAUUUACAUGGUGAACAUAUUGAAGAGGUCAUGCAACAGCAGGGUGACGUGAUGGUCACUUUGGAUGGUCAUAUUUCUGUUGCAGAUGAUGUAGAUGCUCAACAUGAAAAGCAACAUGAUACUGACAUGGUAGCUCAGUCAGAGAGCCAGCAUAAUGUUGUGACAGAUGAUAAUGUUGAACAAUUAAAUCUUUUGACAGAUGAUAAUGUUGAACAAUCAAAUCACCAGAACACAAAGAUGAUGAUUCAGUCAGAUGUUCAGAAUGAUGUUUCAAUGGAUGAGAAUGCUGAACAAGCAAAUAAACAUGAUACUGCCCUGGUAGCUCAGCCAGAUGUUCAGAAUGAUGUUUUGUUGGAUAAGAAUGUUGAAGAAGCAAAACAACAUAAAACUGACCUGGCUGCUCAUUCAGAUGCUCAAAAUGGUCUUGUGAAAGAUAAAGACAUUGAACAAGUUGAAAAAGAGAAAGAAAUGGUAGAUUUACCAAUACCUCCUCUGAAUGAUAUCAAAGAUGAUGUUAUUGGACCUGUGAAGUUGCAAAAUCCUCUCCCUAUGUUAGUUGUGGAUUUGUCUGUUGAAAAUCCUAGUAAAAAGAUAAAGAUUUUGGAUGAUAUGGAAAAAGGUGUUUCAGCACAGAUGCAGCCAGAGGUCGGUAACAAAGUUGAAGAUCCCAACAAACAGGUACAGGUUUUCGAUGAUUUGGAAAAAGAUGUUUCAGCACAGACAGAGCCAGAGGUUGGCAACACAGUUGACGGGAUUGUGGAUGAUUGUAAAACUAGGUUUGAGGAGCAGCCACUUCUGUCAAAUGCUGAUGCUGAAACAGAAAAUAUUAUCAUUACAGAGAGAGAACAGUUUGCCUCACAUACGGAGCAUGUUAUACCUUGACAAUAUUAUGGACGUGGUGCAGACAAAAUGUCCAAGUAUUCAGAAACCAAAUCACAGAAAGUGGUCAGAGACAAUAAAGUGUGUGGUGACUUGUAUCAGAGAAGACACUAGUACUCCUGGUGAAGGCUCCCCCUAUAUGAAGCGGUGCUGGCCUUCACACCCAUUACCAAAUUAACACAAUUUGUUGAAUUUUUAUAUGUGGAGGUUUUAUGCUUGAAUAUAUGGAAAAUGCAGACCUCUUGUUGUUUUCAAGGAUUGUUUUCAGGAUUCCACAAUACUGUUUGUCUGAAUGAUCUGAUAUCUGCAGCUUGUUUAAAGAUGGCGACAGUGCUCAUAUCAUCUACUUAAUAGGUUUUAUGUUCUAUAAAAGCUUUAUAAGUGUACACAAUUAGAUUUUCUCUUGGCAAAACCAUAGAAAACUGCACUGUGUAUCAGAAUUUUCUCAAAGAGAUUUUUUGUAAGUUAAUUCAUGAAAACCUCAUGCCACCUCACUCACUCCUGCCUUAAGCUAAGUCCAGCCCUUGAAUUUUUCUCUUAUUACCCAACUUUUAGCCUGCAUUAGAUUCAAGUUUGCGUGGGUUUUCCUCGGGACAGUAAUUUUUUGGUGUUCCUGCGUAAUUGGUGUUUGAGAAUACCAAAAUUUCAUUGUUAACUCUGAACUGCAGUUCAUGAUAUAACAAUCCGUAGUAUGUAGUUGUGUAGAAUGUUAAUUUAAA